CAUUCAACAACACACUUCUUGAACCAUUAACACAGCAGAAUUCACUUAUUGCUUCUCAUUUUUAGUACACACACACAGAAGAAAUUAAUAACUAUUAUUAACCAGAGCAAUACUGGAGCUUGUUAAAUAAAGAUACACUUAAUUUCAAAGUAUUGCUCUUGCUAAAAUUUACCAAAAAUAUUGUCCCUUCUGAUUCUUCUCACAACACUCACUGCAGCAGCACAAAGCAGGGCAGAGGCAGCUGAACUGACACAAGUUGCAAUCUCUGGCACUGUGUGCUUUUUAGCACAGCAUUUUGAACUAGCAAUGGAAAAGAAACCAUUUUCAAGCACGUUUCACUAGGAGCUCCCAAGAAAAAGGUUGUAAUCGCAGACUUUUACAGAUGUUCCAAUCUGCAGUGCUUCGCUCCCACUAUUGUUCUAAAUGCUGAGUACACACCCUCCACUCUACACACACUCGCACGCAGACACACAUGCACACUCAUAUGCACUCAGUGUCACACCAUGUACUUCACUUCUAGUAGCAAACCUGACUGAAAGGAAUUUAUUUUUCCACUUUCACAUCUCCCUCUCCUAAUUAAUGUCAAUCAGCAUCUUCUGCAGAGUACACACUGCAAAUAUACAUGGCCUUAUCUGUGCUCUGUGCAGGGCAGGGGCAAAAAUUUCCAUUCUUGCUAGAAAUUGAGUAGAGUCUAUGUGAUGGAUUCAGACAGGAAGGAUCUGGAGAUGCACAAGCCUCCUUAAAUGACCCCACUUUUAGGGAGAUGUUCUGUUGGUUGGUUUGUGGUUUCCACUCCACAGCUGUGAAUAGGAAGCAAUUCUCCGGUUCAGAAGAGUUGUUGCAGACUUCCCGAGGUGCAAGAGGGCUCAGAGACUUCCCAGUACAUCUUGACAGCUGCCAGGAACAGUGGCAGCAGUGGGAGGGACAGCGAAGGAAUUUGCCAGGGACUUCAGCAGAGCCAGUCCACACUGUUUGGACAUCCAUGGACCAGAGCCAGACAAUUAAAAGCACUGGUACUUAGGGGUAGGCACCUAUACUUGCACUUCCCAGCUGUCCCAAUAACCACCACAGUAGCAGAACUGAGGGUGGGAAAAUGUUGCUUCCCAAACCCAAAGCAGACAAACUUCGCUUCCCAGCACAUACACCACUCACUUCUUUUUAUAGACUGCUUUUCUCUCAAAUUCAAAAGUAAAUCCAGCUCAGAUGAUUUCCCUGUCUUAACUUUUGUACAAGAGGAAGACAGAAAGCUAAAAAAAGAAAAUUAGACACUUCAUGAAAUCCGUGAUUAAGACACAGAAACUAUCAAGACAGAUGGGCUGAAACAUUCAGGGAGCUUCAGUUCAACAACCCAUGUUUUUCAGAGAUCUACAGUACGCUAUUGUCUUCUCCGUUUAGAGGUUUUAAAUCUCAUUUUAUAUUGCAGUAACUUAACACCAUUUCUAAACUCUAAGUACACUUAUUGGGUCGUCCAAAAUAAACCCCAAUAUUUACUCAAUUAGCACAUGGCCCUAGAAUCUAACUACGUGGGGUUUUCCCCCACUUUGCCUCUUUAUUUUUGGGUGCAGGCAACGCUCACUGCUGCUGGCUUGUGAGCUCGCUGGGGAGGCAGAGCAGGGUGGCUGCAGACAGGGGGAAAGUAAGAGGCAGCACCCAGCCACAGCUCCUCUGCCCCGCUGCAGGUUUUGCUCCCGGGCGUGCCCCACGGGAGGAGCUGCUCUCACUGUCCUUAGCCGGUCACUGCCAUGCACACAGAAAUACGAGGCCAGCCACGCACAGAACUCCCUCUUACCAACGUUUGCCUCCCAAGGGCGACACUGCACACUCUGAAUGCCAAAUGCUUCUAGCAGGAGUGUUCUGCUCCUCCACAAGUUCCUGGCUCACAGCAAGGACUCAGGCUGGUUCAUCUUGCCACUGGAUCCCUUCUUUCCUCGGAAAUUAAGUCCUCUUUUCUGUGCAGUGUGCAAAGCACUCACUCACUCAAGGGAAAAAAAAAAAAAAAAGAAAAGAAAGAGGGGGCAGGGAGAAGAAGAAGGGGAGAAAAGGAAAUCUGUGACUGCACUUGGCAAAAGCCAGGGAUCAGCAACAACUGCUGAAAGCUGAGUCACUUUCUUCCCUUCCACCUGGUGAGUGGCUGCCCCAAUCCACUCAGCAGAAAGCCUCUUUUCACCAAAAUUGGCAUAAAUCUGGAGUAAUUCCCUCCAUUUCAAUAGAGCUGCUUAGGAUUUAUGGCAGCAUGACACAACAAGCAGAAUCCUGUGUGCUGAGAGCUACAAGCCCAGGUUUCCCCUGCAGGAGAUGGUGCUGCUUUGCUCUUCAAGCCACAAUGCCAACCAUGCACCAGCACUGAUGCCACGGCUUGUUCUAUUUUUCCUGAUGCUGUCAUCUCCAGCAGAUGCUCUGCACGCAGAACGUGUGGAGAAAUCACCCUCUUUCACACACUGCAGGAGAAUUUUGCCAAUCCACAACCAGAACAUUUAUUAGCUUGAAUUAAGCGUUUUUUAAGAUUUCUUUUUUUCACCAGAUUUCAUUUAAUGUUUUAAUUUGGUUUAGCAAAGAUUUUUGAAAUUAUUAUUUUUAACAUCUCACUAGGCUGUGUGAAACAGAGUUCAGAAGACAGCAGAAAUAUCUUCUGUGCAGAUGAUGUGUGAAUAAGUAAGGGAUGAGAUCAAGAUUUAAGGAAUACCAAUCAGCUUUACCAGACAAUAAUCUACUCCAUUUAUGUUCUCAGCUUAAGAAAAAGCACUGCUAGGGAAUUUAUGUAUGCACUGGAAGGUUUCUAUAAGCAGGGAAAGACCCUGAAAAAAACUAUACAAUUCUCCCCCCCAGCAUGCAAUGCAGUGACAAGCAGAAUAAAAAACGGUAAAUGAACACAACCCCCAACCUUUGAAACAGGGCUAUUCCAACUGAGGAGAGCUUCGGCUUCACACUAAACACAUCACCUAUGUAAAAAAAAAGGAUUCUCACAUAUACCGAGGCACUGACAGGGUUUUUCUAAACAAAUGCAAUGAGUCUUGUCUGUCCUGGCUAAGUACAUUCACAACAUUCAAGCACGGGAUGUAGCUGCCUAGAAACAGCAGUGCUCAUGUCGUCCCUUCACUAUGGGGAACACAGUGUGCUAUACAAAUAUUAAUUUAGCCUGAACAACCAGUGAGGUAUGCAAAUAUUACUCUCAGCUUCAACUGGGAUUGAUUUGAGUACAGAGGAACAGCAAGGGGGAUUUUUAGCAGUGCUUCAGGGAGCCAGCUCGCAGCCAGGCACAGCUGGAAUCUUGCAUGUCUGCAAGUGCUUUCAGUAGCCCUGCCCCGACCAGCUUUCAGUAGACCUGCCCCCAGCCAUUCCUAGAUCUGCCUGUUCUCUUCAGGUGACCCAGAAGAGCAAACAUUUUCAAACCAGUAUCCUGACUGGUUAUGCUGCCAAAUUCAACAAGGCAGUUGUGCAGACAUGGGUACACUGUGCAGCACCUCCCAGGUCCUGAUUUUGACACAGUUCAAGAAAAGCCAUCACAGCCACUUAACCAGGCAAGAGGAACUGCAACUGACCCCUGCUGGGUACCACUACUGUCCAAAAAGCACUGAUGGUGUAAAAGCAGAGAAAAGCAGCAGGAGCUUUAGCAGCUGACACUGGCUUCUUGUUUACUGGGUAAGUUGCAGAACUCCUGGAACUCAACUGAUGAGGACGGGGCCAGAGCAGAAGUCCAGCAGGUCUCGCUGUGUGUUUUGCCUUUUUAAAAUUCCACCUCACAUCCAAAGGGAGGAAAGAAACGUUUGUGAAGUCAAGUAGACAAGAAAAGGAGAGCUGAAACAAUGCAGAGCUGAAACAAUGCAGAUCUAAGUGACCUGGAAAGAAUGAUCUCCUGCACCACUUUUUUCUACCACUCCACAGAACAGCAGCAGAGGAAAGAGAAAGGCAGAGAAUUGGGAAUCUCAAGGACAGGGCAUAUAGAAUGGCAGCUGAACAAAACACCUUUAGACCAGCAGCCCAAAGCAAGCAAUUCUCACAGCAACCAUGACACUGAAACUAUUCGACCCUCUUCCUCAAGAGCCUUGGUUUUAGGCUUUUACAAGUCUGGCAAGUGGGGGAGGCCAGCAGCUGAAUCUUCAGACCUUUCAUCAAUGUAAACUUCACAGCCCAGGCUUUGACACAGCUGCACAUGGGCCACAGCAUCUAUGGAAGGAUCUGUCUGCAUAGGGUUCACUGCAGAAGAAAAGACAGAGCUCUAAGUAGCUUUGGGACUUUUAAAGUCAAGAAAAACCACAGACAGUAAAGAAAGACACAAUUACUUUGAUGUACAUUUCUUUACCUGAAUAUGUACAGAAACAAGGAAGAUCCAGAAAAGUGAAGAUACAGUUGGAGCUUCUUGUUAAUUUGACUUCUUUUUUUUUUUUUUU